GAUGAACGCUGGCGGCGUGCUUAACACAUGCAAGUCGAGCGAAGCACUUAAGUUUGAUUCUUCGGAUGAAGACUUUUGUGACUGAGCGGCGGACGGGUGAGUAACGCGUGGGUAACCUGCCUCAUACAGGGGGAUAACAGUUAGAAAUGACUGCUAAUACCGCAUAAGACCACGGUACCGCAUGGUACAGUGGUAAAAACUCCGGUGGUAUGAGAUGGACCCGCGUCAGAUUAAGUAGUUGGUGGGGUAACGGCCUACCAAGCCGACGAUCAGUAGCCGACCUGAGAGGGUGACCGGCGACAUUGGGACUGAGACACGGCCCAGACUCCUACGGGAGGCAGCAGUGGGGAAUAUUGCACAAUGGAGGAAACUCUGAUGCAGCGACGCCGCGUGAAGGAUGAAGUAUUUCGGUAUGUAAACUUCUAUCAGCAGGGAAGAAAAUGACGGUACCUGACUAAGAAGCCCCGGCUAACUACGUGCCAGCCGCCGCAGUAA
rnacentral:rRNA from 1 species